rnacentral:rRNA from 1 species
CCUACGGGUGGCAGCAGUGGGGAAUAUUGCACAAUGGGGGAAACCCUGAUGCAGCGACGCCGCGUGAGUGAAGAAGUAUUUCGGUAUGUAAAGCCCUAUCAGCAGGGAAGAAAAUGACGGUACCUGAUUAAGAAGCCCCGGCUAACUACGGGCCAGCAGCCGCGGUAAUACGUAGGGGGCAAGCGUUAUCCGGAUUUACUGGGGGUAAAGGGAGCGUAGACGGCAGCACAAGUCUGGAGUGAAAUGCCGGGGCUUAACCCCGGAACUGCUUUGGAACCUGUGCAGCUAGAGUGCAGGAGAGGUAAGUGGAAUUCCUAGUGUAGCGGUGAAAUGCGUAGAUAUUAGGAGGAACACCAGUGGCGAAGGCGGCUUACUGGACUGUAACUGACGUUGAGGCUCGAAAGCGUGGGGAGCGAACAGGAUUAGAUACCCGAGUAGUC